UACAGAGGGGGCUAGCGUUGUUCGGAAUUACUGGGCGUAAAGGGCGCGUAGGUCGCCUGUUAAGUCGAACGUGAAAUCCCCGGGCUCAACCCGGGAACUGCGUCCGAGACUGGCAGGCUCGAAUCCGGGAGAGGGAUGUGGAAUUCCAGGUGUAGCGGUGAAAUGCGUAGAUAUCGGGAGGAACACCAGUGGCGAAGGCGACUACCUGGCCUGUUUCUUGACGCUGAGGCGCGAAAGCUAGGGGAGCAAACGGG
rnacentral:rRNA from 1 species